rnacentral:rRNA from 1 species
UACGUAGGGUGCAAGCGUUGUCCGGAAUUAUUGGGCGUAAAGAGCUCGUAGGCGGUUUGUCGCGUCUGCUGUGAAAACUCAGGGCUUAACCCUGAGCCUGCAGUGGGUACGGGCAGACUAGAGUGUGGUAGGGGAGAUCGGAAUUCCUGGUGUAGCGGUGGAAUGCGCAGAUAUCAGGAGGAACACCGGUGGCGAAGGCGGAUCGCUGGGCCAACACUGACGCUGAUGUGCGAAAGCUAGGGGAGCAAACGGG